AUUGAACGCUGGCGGAAUGCUUUACACAUGCAAGUCGAACGGUAGAGGGGGCAACCCCUCGAGAGUGGCGAACGGGUGAGUAAUAUAUCGGAACGUGACCAGUCGGGGGGGAUAACGUAGCGAAAGUUACGCUAAUACCGCAUACGCUCUAAGGAUCAAAGCGGGGGAUAGCAAGAACUCGCGCGAUGGGAGACGCCGAAAACAGAUUAGUUAGGUGGUUGGGUAAAGGCUCACCAAGCCAACGAUCUGCGGCCGGUAUGAGAGGACGACCAGCCACACUGGAACUGAAACACGGUCCAGACUCCUACGGGAGGCAGCAGGGGGGAAUUUUGGACAAUGGACGCAAGUCUGAUCCAGCCAUUCCGCGUGCAGGAUGAAGGCCCUCGGGUUGUAAACUGCUUUUGUACGGAACGAAAAGGUCUCUCUUAAUACGGGGGGCUCAUGACGGUACCGUAAGAAUAAGCACCGGCUAACUACGUGCCAGCAGCCGCCGUAA
rnacentral:rRNA from 1 species